rnacentral:rRNA from 1 species
GAUGAACGCUGGUGGCGUGCUUAACACAUGCAAGUCGAGCGAAGCAGUUAAGUUGAUUUCUUCGGAUUGAUUCUUAAUUGACUGAGCGGCGGACGGGUGAGUAACGCGUGGGUGACCUGCCCCAUACCGGGGGAUAACAGCUGGAAACGGCUGCUAAUACCGCAUAAGCGCACAGAGCUGCAUGGCUCAGUGUGAAAAACUCCGGUGGUAUGGGAUGGGCCCGCGUCUGAUUAGGCAGUUGGCGGGGUAACGGCCCACCAAACCGACGAUCAGUAGCCGGCCUGAGAGGGCGACCGGCCACAUUGGGACUGAGACACGGCCCAAACUCCUACGGGAGGCAGCAGUGGGGAAUAUUGCACAAUGGGGGAAACCCUGAUGCAGCGACGCCGCGUGAGCGAAGAAGUAUUUCGGUAUGUAAAGCUCUAUCAGCAGGGAAGAUAAUGACGGUA